UACGUAGGGUCCGAGCGUUGUCCGGAAUUAUUGGGCGUAAAGGGCUCGUAGGCGGUUUGUCGCGUCGGGAGUGAAAACACGGGGCUUAACCCCGUGCCUGCUUCCGAUACGGGCAGACUAGAGGUAUGCAGGGGAGAACGGAAUUCCUGGUGUAGCGGUGAAAUGCGCAGAUAUCAGGAGGAACACCAGCGGCGAAGGCGGCGCUCUGGGCCGGAACUGACGCUGAGGAGCGAAAGCGUGGGUAGCAAACAGG
rnacentral:rRNA from 1 species